rnacentral:tRNA from 1 species
GGUCUUAGCUUAAUUAAAGUAUUUGUUUUGCAUACAGAAGAUGUGGGGUAGUGCCCUGCAGAUCUUA